UUAGAGUUUGGUGUAUUUGGGGUAGCACGAAGAAUUUUGAAUUCUUAGGUUUAGGUUCAAUCCCUAUAACUCUAG
rnacentral:tRNA from 1 species